GACGAACCGUGCGAACGUUGUUCGGAUUCACUGGGCUUAAAGGGCGCGUAGGCGGCUACUCAAGUCGGGGGUGAAAUCCUCUCGCUUAACGAGAGAAUUGCUUUCGAUACUGGGUCGCUGGAGGGAGAUAGGGGUGCGCGGAACUUCCGGUGGAGCGGUGAAAUGCGUAGAUAUCGGAAGGAACGCCGGUGGCGAAAGCGGCGCACUGGAUCUCUUCUGACGCUGAGGCGCGAAAGCCAGGGGAGCAAACGGG
rnacentral:rRNA from 1 species